AUAUUUUUAAAUGUUCCCAGGUGAUUCUAAUUUGCUGCCAGGUUUGAGAACCCUGGAUUAGAUGUAUCUUGUUCCUGGCUGACAUCAGUCCCGUGGAAUCGACGGUCACAGCUGGCCCCUAAAAGGCUGAGUGUGUAUAUCUGGAGCUGGGGGCCUCUGUGUCCGAGGGGCUUUAACAUUUAUUGAGCCCUUACUAUGUGCCUCGCAUUUCACCUUCUCAACAACAGUAUAAAGUUGGAUCUAUUAUUAGCCACAUUUUAUACGUAUGGAAAACUGAGGCACAGAGAGACCAAGUAAUUUGUCCACAGUCACACAGCUAGUAAGUAAUGGAGCCAAAAUUCAAACUCAGACCAUCUGGCUCCAAUCUGUGUCCUAAAUUCAUGCUCCUUAUCUUGAGGAAAGGCAUGUGAGAAGAACAGAUUUUCCUACCUCUCCUUUUGUCCCCAACGAUGCAGUGACUGAGGGUCCUAUGCUCCCAGUCCCUGAACCCUCUGCCCAUCUCUGCCACAAGAAAACCCAGCCCCAGGAAUGCUUGGCCCAGCCCCUCUAGACACUUCCUUUUGUCUCCCCACCUUACCGGCUGCUAUAACUGCCCAGUGGCCCAGCUACUGAGUAUUUUAGGAAAAGGUGAGUCAGCUGACAGCCUGUCAACCUGGGUACCAGGCCUACCAGACCUCAGGCCCUGUCCAGAAACCAGCCCUCUGUUGUUCCCAAUAAUAAUGACACUCCUGUGGGCCACGGUGCUCACCAAGCACUUCCUCAUCCAGGCUGGGAGAGCAGACUUCCUGUUUGCCAUCUCUCCAGGUGACAGAGUGGCACCAGCAGACACCCAGUAGACCCCACAUCUGCUCUCAUCCCCCAUGCCCACCUGUCUUACUUCCAUAAGCCUGUCUGGUGCCUGACAUGCAUUUAUCCUGUCACUGUUAACCACGGUCAUACUCCUGGAAGCCCAGGUUCGAAUCUGCACCCUGCCUUGACAUACUGGGUGACCGCAGGCAAACUUCUGGCCCUCUCUGUCCUCAGACUCCUCAGCAACUAUAGAAGUUGGCCUGGUUCUCGUCGAGGGCUCAGGCAGAUCAGGUGGAAGGAGGCAGGAUCCAGGUAGGCCUAGCUGGGUACAAGGCAGCUUUCUUGGGCAGGCAGGCCUGCCUGGGCAUGCCAGACCCAAGGACUAUGAACAAGGACCAGAUUUCAGUAUGGGAGGCUCCUCAGGAGAGACUGUGUAUGACUCAGUCACAGUAUGACUUGGGGUGUGGAGCCUACAGACUGACAGAGGGCCCUACCAUCCUAGGGGCCCUGCAAAGGGACAAUCCAAGAAGCGUCCUGGAGGAAUCUGACAUCUCUGUGGGUUCUGUGUCCGUCUACAGCCUGUCCUCAAUGCUUCAGCCCUGGAGAGAGCAUGGGUAUAGACCACCCUUCGGCCACACCUACACUGCCUUCUGGCCACUCCUCAUGGGAUCCAUGAGGAUUCCACAGAUCCAUCCACCAACCAGCACUCCCCAUCACUCCGCGCUUUGCCAGGUAGGUAGUCGGCCUCUCCACUAUGCUGUCAACUCCAGGGGACAGGGCUCUUUGUGUUUUGUUCAUCGCUGUGACCCUAGCACCUAGAACAAGGCUCAACCCAGAAGAAUUGCUCAAAAAGACAUCUAUUGACCAUACAAAUAAAUGAUAGAAUCUUC